rnacentral:tRNA from 1 species
UCCUUGGCAGUCCAGUAGUUAGGACUCUGUGCUUACACUGCUGAGAGCCAGGUUCAACCCCUGGUUGGGGAA